ACGAACGCUGGCGGCGUGCUUAACACAUGCAAGUCGAACGGAAAGGCCCUGCUUUUGUGGGGUGCUCGAGUGGCGAACGGGUGAGUAACACGUGAGUAACCUGCCCUUGACUUUGGGAUAACUUCAGGAAACUGGGGCUAAUACCGGAUAGGAGCUCCUGCUGCAUGGUGGGGGUUGGAAAGUUUCGGCGGUUGGGGAUGGACUCGCGGCUUAUCAGCUUGUUGGUGGGGUAGUGGCUUACCAAGGCUUUGACGGGUAGCCGGCCUGAGAGGGUGACCGGCCACAUUGGGACUGAGAUACGGCCCAGACUCCUACGGGAGGCAGCAGUGGGGAAUAUUGCACAAUGGGCGGAAGCCUGAUGCAGCAACGCCGCGUGCGGGAUGACGGCCUUCGGGUUGUAAACCGCUUUCGCCUGUGACGAAGCGUGAGUGACGGUAAUGGGUAAAGAAGCACCGGCUAACUACGUGCCAGCAGCCGCGGUGAUACGUAGGGUGCGAGCGUUGUCCGGAUUUAUUGGGCGUAAAGGGCUCGUAGGUGGUUGAUCGCGUCGGAAGUGUAAUCUUGGGGCUUAACCCUGAGCGUGCUUUCGAUACGGGUUGACUUGAGGAAGGUAGGGGAGAAUGGAAUUCCUGGUGGAGCGGUGGAAUGCGCAGAUAUCAGGAGGAACACCAGUGGCGAAGGCGGUUCUCUGGGCCUUUCCUGACGCUGAGGAGCGAAAGCGUGGGGAGCGAACAGGCUUAGAUACCCUGGUAGUCCACGCUGUAAACGGUGGGUACUAGGUGUGGGGUCCAUUCCACGGGUUCCGUGCCGUAGCUAACGCUUUAAGUACCCCGCCUGGGGAGUACGGCCGCAAGGCUAAAACUCAAAGGAAUUGACGGGGCCCCGCACAAGCGGCGGAGCAUGCGGAUUAAUUCGAUGCAACGCGUAGAACCUUACCUGGGUUUGACAUGGAUCGGGAGUGCUCAGAGAUGGGUGUGCCUCUUUUGGGGUCGGUUCACAGGUGGUGCAUGCCUGUCGUCAGCUCGUGUCGUGAGAUGUUGGGUUAAGUCCCGCAACGAGCGCAACCCUUGUUCACUGUUGCCAGCACGUUAUGGUGGGGACUCAGUGGAGACCGCCGGGGUCAACUCGGAGGAAGGUGGGGAUGACGUCAAGUCCUCAUGCCCCUUAUGUCCAGGGCUUCACGCAUGCUACAAUGGCUGGUACAGAGAGUGGCGAGCCUGUGAGGGUGAGCGAAUCUCGGAAAGCCGGUCUCAGUUCGGAUUGGGGUCUGCAACUCGACCUCAUGAAGUCGGAGUCGCUAGUAAUCGCAGAUCAGCAACGCUGCGGUGAAUACGUUCCCGGGGCUUGUACACACCGCCCGUCAAGUCAUGAAAGUUGGUAACACCCGAAGCCGGUGGCCUAACCGUUGUGGGGGAGCCGUCGAAGGUGGGACUGGUGAUUAGGAC
rnacentral:rRNA from 1 species